GACAACACUACGCAGAUGAUAACGUGUCCGGUUACAGCCCACGACAGAGCCGGAGGAGUUGCUCAACCACUGCAACACUAACACAAACAAUCAGAGACCUUCUCCCUCUGGUGCUCGUUGAAGAUAACAGCCAUGAGGACCAGGACCGGGUGACAGAGGAACCACAGGAAGCAUCCCUGCAAGCAAAGACCGUGUGAGCACAUGAGGGGCUGUGGGGGAGUAUGUGCUUGUGAGGAGGCCGCGGGCGAGCGUACGGCGUGGUGUACCUUGGCGAAGCUGAGGUAGAAGUCUCUCUUCAGGGUGCUCCUCUCGGUGGAGAUGAUCUGGUAGAGGACUGAGGCCAAGAGCACGGCCAAGCCCACCUUCAGCACCAUGAGGAGGACGCAUGCCAGACUCAGCCCGGCGUGGUAGCCGUGGUGUUCCCUGUCGGACUGUUUUCCUGCGUACAUAUGUGACGACUCCACCGACAGCGACCGCCGUGGAGGCCGGAGAGUGCUCCCA